rnacentral:rRNA from 1 species
CGCGAGCUGGGUUUAGAACGUCGUGAGACAGUUCGGUCCCUAUCUGCCGUGGGCGCAGGAGAUUUGCGAAGAGUUGCCCCUAGUACGAGAGGACCGGGGUGAACGAACCGCUGGUGUUCGGGUUGUCUCGCCAGAGGCAUUGCCCGGUAGCUAUGUUCGGACGGGAUAACCGCUGAAGGCAUCUAAGCGGGAAGCCUCCUUCAAGACGAGAUCUCCCUGAGGAUCCGGGCUUGCCCGGCUCCUCCUGAAGUGCCGUUGAAGACGACGACGUUGAUAGGCCGGGUGUGUAAGCGCUGUGAGGCGUUGAGCUAACCGGUACUAAUUGCACGUGAGGCUUGAUCGC